rnacentral:tRNA from 1 species
UCCCCUGUGGAUCAGUUGGUAGAGCAUGGUGUUUGCAACACCAGGGUUGUGGGUUCAAUUCCCACGGGGGAC